rnacentral:rRNA from 1 species
CCUACGGGUGGCUGCAGUGAGGAAUAUUGGUCAAUGGACAAGAGACUGAACCAGCCAAGUAGCGUGAAGUAUGACUGCCCUAUGGGUCGUAAACUUCUUUUAUCAAGGAAUCACACGAGGCACGUGUACCUUUUUGCAUGUACUUUAUGAAUAAGCAUCGGCUUACUCAGUUCCAGCAGCCGCGGUAAUCCGGAGGAUCCGAGCGUUAUCCGGAUUUAUUGGGUUUAAAGGGAUCGUAGAUGGGUUGUUAAGUCAGUUGUGAAAGGCUGCGGCUCAACCGUAAAAUUGCAAUUGAUACUGGCAGUCUUGAGUAGAGUUGAGGUAAGCGGAAUGCGUGGUGUAGCGGUGAAA